rnacentral:rRNA from 1 species
GGAAGUUUUUUGUGGUCUAGCCUGCUCACUGAGUGUUUAUAUUUGAAGAGCCGCGGUAUCUUGACCGUGCAAAGGUAGCAUAAUCAAUAGUCUCCUUAAUUGGGAACUGGAAUGAAUGGUUGAACAAAAGAAUAACUGUCUUUUUUAUAUAAUUUGAACUUAACUUUUAAGUGAAAAGGCUUAAAUACGUUGGGGGGACGAUAAGACCCUAUAAAGCUUUAUAACAAAAACUAUUUUUAAAUAAAAACUUAGUGGCGUUAUUUUAUUGGGGCGAUAAAGAUAAAAAUAUUAUAACUGUUAAAAGAUAAAACAUAUAUUUAUGAAGGUGUAAAAGAUCCUGAAUAGAGAUUUAAAGAAUAAGUUACUUUAGGGAUAACAGCGUAAUUUCUUUUAAAAGUUCUUAUUGAAAAAGAAGAUUGCGACCUCGAUGUUGAAUUAAAAUAUCUUUGUGGUGUAGCAGCUGCAAAAGAAGGUCUGUUCGACCUUUAAAUUUU